rnacentral:rRNA from 1 species
UACGUAGGGGGCAAGCGUUGUCCGGAAUCAUUGGGCGUAAAGAGCGUGUAGGCGGCCCGGUAAGUCCGCUGUGAAAGUCAAAGGCUCAACCUUUGAAUGUCAGCGGAUACUGCCGGGCUAGAGUCCGGAAGAGGCGAGUGGAAUUCCUGGUGUAGCGGUGGAAUGCGCAGAUAUCAGGAGGAACACCAACGGCGAAGGCAGCUCGCUAGGACGGUACUGACGCUGAGACGCGAAAGUGUGGGGAGCGAACAGG